CAACUUCCACCUGGCAUACCUCUUCAGCUAUGCGUCUAGGCUUGUAUCGCUUUGAGCGUAAUGUGGGUUUCCUGUGUUGCAUACCAAAUUGAUGGUAUUGUUUUGGUUUAUCGAAGUCCCUUUUCAUCUUGUGUUGCUUUUGUGAUGCAAGAUGAACCUUGAAGUGGUGUCUAUGUUCCAUCAUGUCGAUGCAAAUGCGUUGAUAUUGUGGCCCAUUGAGUGUUGCUUGGUAUCCUGGAUACGGAAUAUUAUGUGGGCAUGGGGUCUUUCAUGACUCCUGUUCUGUCCUCAUUCAGUGUUCUUCGAAACGACGGUUCAUGCGCGCCUAGGCUCGUACCUGCGUGAUGUUCUUUGUCAAAGAGGAAUGCUACCUGGUUGAUCCUGCCAGUAGUCAUAUGCUUGUCUCAAAGAUUAAGCCAUGCAUGUGUAAGU
rnacentral:misc_RNA from 1 species